AAUAGUUCAGAGUAUGUGGAUAGAUUAGAAACAGUUGAGAGGAUUAAUUUUUUAUUUAUUAUAUAAAAGAGAAAUUGAUCAAAAGAAAUCGCCGAUGAGGCGUCACAAUUUACAUAAAUUUUGUGGAAGAUCAAUUUUUUGAGCAUUUGUCAGGAAAUUUUCCGAGAAAUUUUAUGCUGUAUCAAUGUUAAUUAUUAUCAAUUAAACAUUGUAUCAGCAGCAAUGAAAAAUUUAAAUUUAGUCUUGUUAAACCUAAGGGGAAUUCUUAAAUAUUAUAAACUAUAAUUAAUUCUGUGCAUAUUAGAAAAUUAUAACAGAAUAAUUAUAUUAAUUUUUUGAGACAUUUUGUCAGUUUUUCAGAAAUUUGUUCUGAUAGGUAAAAUUACAUUAUUAGAUUUUUAAUAGCGAUCACUCGUAUUACUAUAUUGCAAAAUGUAACAUACAAGUGAAUAAAAAAUUUUAG